UACAGAGGUCCCAAGCGUUGUUCGGAUUCAUUGGGCGUAAAGGGUGCGUAGGCGGCGCGGUAAGUCGGGUGUGAAAUCUCGGGGCUUAACUCCGAAACUGCAUUCGAUACUGCCGUGCUUGAGGACUGGAGAGGAGACUGGAAUUUACGGUGUAGCGGUGAAAUGCGUAGAUAUCGUAAGGAAGACCAGUGGCGAAGGCGGGGUCUCUGGACAGUUCCUGACGCUGAGGCACGAAGGCCAGGGGGAGCAAACGGGG
rnacentral:rRNA from 1 species